CUCUUAUCCCGAGCUGGUGGAGGGACAGGCCCAAUGAAACCCAGCAACCUGCUGUAGAAGAAAUACCUGUGAAAGGUGAAUUCUCCUUAAGCGAAGGUGCUAACCUGAAGCAAGGAAACAGUCCUUGAACGAUAAGAG
rnacentral:ncRNA from 2 species